UGAGGAAUAUUGGUCAAUGGGCGGGAGCCUGAACCAGCCAAGCCGCGUGAAGGAAGAAGGCGCCAGGCGUCGUAAACUUCUUUUUGUCGGGGAACAAAGGGCGCCACGCGUGGCGUUGUGAGUGUACCCGAAGAAAAAGCAUCGGCUAACUCCGUGCC
rnacentral:rRNA from 1 species